UAAGCGGCGCAUGUUUCAGAAAAUAGUGAGAAGAAGAUUAUAGAGGAGUAAGGAUACAAAAAAACAUUGUUUCAGACUGUGUAUCAAAGAAUCUGCAGGCUUUCGGAGUUUGAGAGAUUUCGUAUCAGCUUUGUUUGAUUGUAAACUCAAUGCAGGUUUCCAACUAUAGUGACUGAACAUUAACAAGCCAUGGAUGAAGAAGAUAAAUCUUUCAGAUUCAUAGUGACACCAAUAACUGCUAUGAAAGCCACCCACCAAAAGCCUUUACUCCGCAAGAAGGUUUGCUUGCUUUUCUCCUAUGUUAUCAUCCAGAAAACAGGUGGGAAUAAGUUUAAUUUUUAAAGUUCUUAAUGAUAUGUGAACUGUGAUAGGUUUAGGUGUAUGUGAAUAUUAUUUGCUUCAAAAUCUGGUAUAUGAAUGUUAAUUGAUGCAAGCAACAUGUUGCAUAUUGUCAGAGCAAAGCUUAAACUUACCAAGCAGAGAAGGAAGAGAUGGGUCAGAUGAAAUGGUCGUGAGUAUGAUCUAAAGACAUGUGUAGACUUUUACAUAUUGAGUCACGACAUUCCCGAUUCUGAUGAACAAACGUCUUAUCUUAUACUCAUGUGACUGAUACUACACAGGAAGAUGAUAAGAUCACCAUUUAGCCUGUCCACGUAGGAUCAGAAAUUCAAGCCAAUCAAAUUGUCUUAAGAUGCCAUGUCAGAUUAGUAAAAAAAAACAACUUUACGAUUGGCUAAUCCUUGUUUUCUCCUGCGCUUUUCCAAUGUCUCUAUCCAGCUUCUCAGUUCCAAGUUUUCUCCAUUAAUUUGUCCAACUUUCUGUAAACAAGUGUAUCUCUUAAAAAUAUCCUUCAUUCGAGAUUGAGGUGUAACCUGAGCUCCAAAAAGAGUUGUUUCAUCUUCUUCCUUAUCCAUCCGCAGAGAUACCGGUUACAGAUUAACCCUCUUCAAUUAUUUCUUAAAUACAUACCCCAUGAUCUCUUACUCCACUGUUCUUGAAGGCCUGCCGUUGUAACUUCCUAAAAGAUGAAGAUUUCAUUAGCCAACCUCAAUUAGGGUUAUCUCCUAAAUAUCUUCAAUCCUUAUGAUGACUCUUGCAGAGAAAAUUGAUUAGGCAUUCCAAAGGUGAGGAAAUCUAAACCUGAUAUCAUACUCCCGUGCUAACAACAACAUUGAUCCCUCCAAGGAGAGUUAGGUUAGAUUUUUACAAUCCAUUUGUUUUUUUUUAAUUUUUUGUGAUUAUUCCGUAAACACUGAUUGGAUUAGUUGGAAAUAUUAGUUUCAGAUUAGCAUUCUUGAUUAUGCAUACAUCACUCACUUAAGUUAAAUCGUGUCCAAUGUUACAGGUCCUUCAAGCUU